rnacentral:rRNA from 1 species
AACGAACGCUGGCGGCAUGCCUAACUCAUUCAAGUCGAACGAGACCUUCGGGUCUAGUGGCUCACGGGUGCGUAACGCGUGGGAAUCUGCCCUUGGGUUCGGAAUAACAGUUGGAAACGACUUCUAAUACCGGAUGAUGACGUAAGUCCAAAGAUUUAUCGCCCAAGGAUGAGCCCGCGUAGGAUUAGCUAGUUGGUGAGGUAAAGGCUCACCAAGUCGACGAUCCUUAGCUGGUCUGAGAGGAUGAUCAGCCACACUGGUACUGAGACACGGCCCAGACUCCUACGGGAGGCAGAAGUGGGGAAUAUUGGACAAUGGGCGAAAGCCUGAUCCAGAAAUGCCGCGUGAGUGAAGAAGGCCUUAGGGUUGUAAAGCUCUUUUACACGGGAUGAUAAUGACAGUACCGGGAGAAUAAGCUCCGGCUAACUCCGUG